GCUUCGGCAAUGGGGGAAACCCUGACCGAGCGACGCCGCGUGAAGGAUGAAGGCCCUUGGGUUGUAAACUUCUUUUGUUGGGGAAGAAAUGCGAUCAGGUGAACAAUCUGGUCGUUUGACGGUACCCGACGAAUAAGCUCCGGCUAACUCCGUGCCAGCAGCCGCGGUAAUACGUAGGUGGCAAGCGUUGUCCGGAUUUACUGGGCGUAAAGGGCGUGCAGGCGGUUUGUUUAGUCCAGGGUGAAAGCUCCCGGCUCAACUGGGAGAGGUCCUUGGAUACUGGCAGACUCGAGGGGGGUAGAGGAGAGUGGAAUUCCCGGUGUAGUGGUGAUAUGCGUAGAUAUCGGGAGGAACACCAGUGGCGAAGGCGGCUCUCUGGGCCCUACCUGACGCUGAGACGCGAAAGCGUGGGGAGCGAAC
rnacentral:rRNA from 1 species